GGUGAGUAACGCGUGGGUAACCUGCCCUGUACACACGGAUAACAUACCGAAAGGUAUGCUAAUACGAGAUAAUAUACUUUUAUCGCAUGGUAGAAAUAUCAAAGCUUUUGCGGUACAGGAUGGACCCGCGUCUGAUUAGCUAGUUGGUAAGGUAACGGCUUACCAAGGCGACGAUCAGUAGCCGACCUGAGAGGGUGAUCGGCCACAUUGGAACUGAGACACGGUCCAAACUCCUACGGGAGGCAGCAGUGGGGAAUAUUGCACAAUGGGCGAAAGCCUGAUGCAGCAACGCCGCGUGAGCGAUGAAGGCCUUCGGGUCGUAAAGCUCUGUCCUCAAGGAAGAUAAUGACGGUACUUGAGGAGGAAGCCCCGGCUAACUACGUGCCAGCAGCCGCGGUAAUACGUAGGGGGCUAGCGUUAUCCGGAAUUACUGGGCGUAAAGGGUGCGUAGGUGGUUUCUUAAGUCAGAGGUGAAAGGCUACGGCUCAACCGUAGUAAGCCUUUGAAACUGGGAAACUUGAGUGCAGGAGAGGAGAGUGGAAUUCCUAGUGUAGCGGUGAAAUGCGUAGAUA
rnacentral:rRNA from 1 species